CCUGCGCACAGGAGCAGACGUGGGCCUGGCCCCAGGAGCAGCUGGGAGGCCGGGCCGCUCUGGAAGACGCCGCGGGACGAAGGGGCCAGGGGCUCAAUGUCCCCACCCACCCCUGUGCCUCGCAGACAGCGGCGCUCGGCCGCCAGGUGAGGGCCAGCCCCUCCGGGCCUUUCAGAGUUAAUUAGCCUUCAUGAAUAUGGAUGCCACCGCCGAUUUAAUACGGUUGAGAGGUCAUAACCUGACCUUAGCGAGGCGUGCAUAAAGAAAAGGCUACUUUUCUCAGCUCGGUUCCUAAUUGAAAGGCCGAGUUGUCAGACGAUGCGUAGUGGGUGUGAUCCUGCCACCCGGGUUCUCUUCGCACAGGAGACAGUACUGGGGCCGACCAGGAGCAGUGGCCCUAAUUACCUACAGAAAGCUGCAUGGAGCUCACCCGGGAGCUGGCUAAUGAUGAGACCAUAAAAGGAAACUAAACGAUGGCAGGUUUUGGAUGGCAAAUUCCCACCCUAACCAGGUAGUCUAUUUCCACAUCUUUAAAACAGCCACAGACCCCCGCAGUUCUGGGGCCACAGUAAGGGAUAAACUCCUAAUCCAGGGUGGCACACAUCCAUUGUGGGCCAAAUCAAUGGCAGCUCCCACCGCCCACGAAGAAUUUUCUGCACCUUGAGUGGAAAUUUCCCCACUGAAGGUCAGCGCAAGGUACAGACGUGUUGGUCCACGGUCCAACUGCAUGGAGCAUAGAGCCUGGCACACAGCAACUGUUAAAUGUUUCUGAAAAUAUGUGCAAACAAUUCAGUGAUCAGUUUGCAGCCAUGAAGGAGAAAGAUCUGGUUUACUGAUAUGCAGCAAAACAAAAAGGGCGUGUUAUCUUGUAACCCAUUGGGAUAAUUGCCGAUUGCUCUCAAAAGUUAUGCAAGCACAUACAGACCACCUGCUACCAAGGUCUGACCCCUGUUAACAGCCCACCAGAGUUUCCAAGCCCACCAGAGCUUCCAAGCUGGAAAUGCUUGAAGCACAGAAGUCAUAUUCAACUGUUUUGGUCCAGCCUGGAAUGCAUCACAGAUGCCCCCUUUUUUGAACUCCUAUGCCAUUUAUGUAUCAGGCAGAAUACUCCAGUAUGCCUCUGAAGCUCUGUGAUAAAUCCUUUAAGGAGGGGGACAAUGCUGAAGUGCUCUCCUUUGUGCCUCUGUGGACUCCUCAGGAGGGUGAUGGAUUCUGAAGAUGGAUUUCACUAUGCUGAACAUAAACCAUUGUGUUUAAAAUUGAAGAACCAGGAGAGAAAACAAACAAACAGUACUCACUGAUAGUACAUCCCUGAGGAAAUGGACACUUGUCCACACUGCUUGAGAAGGUGCACACUAUUAAGGAAACUUGGUGACUUGUUCCAUUUUUUUGCUGCUAUAUCAUAAUACCACAGGCUGCAUAAUUUAUAAACAAUAGAAGUUUAUUGACUCACAGUUCUGGAAGCUGUGAUAUCCAAGAACAUGGCACCAGCACCUGGUGAGGGGCUUAGUUCUGUGUCAUAAUGAGGCAGAAGAGCAAGCGAGCAUGUGACACACAGAGAGGAGAUCAGGGUGAACUCAGUUUUUUGGUCAAGAACCUGCUCUCAUGAUAAUUAACCCACUCCUGCAAUCAAGGCAUGGGGCUCUGUCCUCAUGACCUAAUCACCUCUAAAGUUACCACUUCUUAGUACUGAGAAAUGGCAAUUAAAUUUUAACAUGUGUUUCAGAGGGAACAUUCAAGCCAUAGCAUUUGGAAAAGACAAUUUGGCACAAGCAUCAAAAUCCAUAUCCUUUGACUCACUUCCAGGAAUUUUUCCUAAGGAAAAAGUUAGUUGGGAGUUGUUGAGUAUAUUACCACUUGCAUUUCUGAAAACUAUAUGGAAAUAAAUGUCCAGCAUAAAGGGAUUUAUUAAGUAAGCACUGGAACACCCAUGAAAUGUAAUGAUACACAGCCAUAAAGUCAUACUAGGGAACAUGUUCAAUCUACUGUUCAAUGCAAAAAGCCACUUAAAAGAAAAUGUAUCAUAUGAUCUCAAUUUUAUAUAUGAAAGGAUUUGUAAUAUCUGCUUGGGGGAAAAGAAUACAGACUAUCUCUGUAUGGUGAAAUAGGGAGUGGAUUUCAAUUUUUCUUCUUUGUGCUUUUCUGAAUAUUAUAUAAUAAACAUGCUAAUAUUAUGCUUGUU